CCUACGGGUGGCUGCAGUGGGGAAUAUUGGGCAAUGGAGGAAACUCUGACCGAGCAACGCCGCGUGAAGGAUGAAGGUUUUCGGAUUGUAAACUUCUGUCGCGAGGGAUGAAGAAUGACGGUACCCGACCAAGAAGCCCCGGCUAACUACGUGCCAGCAGCCGCGGUAAUACGUAGGGGGCGAGCGUUAUCCGGACUUACUGGGUGUAAAGGGAGCGUAGACGGCGAGGUAAGCCUGAAGUGGAAGGCGGCGGCCCAACCGCGGAACGGCUUUGGGAACUGUUUGGCUGGGGUAUGGGGGGGGUAAGCGGAAUUCCUGGUGUAGCGGAGAAAUGCGUAGAUAUCAGGAGGAACACCGGGGGAGAAGGCGGCUCACUGGACCAUAACUGACGUUGAGGCACGAAAGCGUGGGGAGCGAACAGGAUUAGAUACCCCUGUAGUC
rnacentral:rRNA from 1 species